rnacentral:rRNA from 1 species
CAAGCGGGGGAGCAUGUGGUUAAAUUCGAGGCAACGCGAAGACCCUUACCUACUCUUGACAUCCAGAGAAUCCUUUAGAGAUAGAGGAGUGCUUUCGGGAACUUUGAGACAGGUGCUGCAUGGCUGUCGUCAGCUCGUGUUGUGAAAUGUUGGGUUAAGUCCCGCAACGAGCGCAACCCUUAUCCUUUGUUGCCAGCGCGUAAUGGCGGGAACUCAAAGGAGACUGCCGGUGAUAAACCGGAGGAAGGUGGGGAUGACGUCAAGUCAUCAUGGCCCUUACGAGUAGGGCUACACACGUGCUACAAUGGCAGAUACAAAGAGAAGCGACCUCGCGAGAGCAAGCGGAACUCAUAAAGUCUGUCGUAGUCCGGAUUGGAGUCUGCAACUCGACUGCCAUGAAGUCGGAAUCGCUAGUAAUCGUAGAUCAGAAUGCUACGGUGAAUACGUUCCCGGGCCUUGUACACACCGCCCGUCACACCAUGGGAGUGGGUUGCAAAAGAAGUAGGUAGCUUAACCUUCGGGAGGGCGCUACCA